UCUAGAGCCAGACUUCAGAUGGAAAAACCCACUCUAGAGCCAGACUUCUGCAGAGGACAGGCUCACUCUAGAGUCAGACUUCCGGGGGAAGUCUCACUAUGGGAGAAGUAUGGCUCUAUAACAGGGGUCACAACCGCCGUGAUCUCUAUAUCCUGAUCAGUUUGAUGACUGACAAUCGGACACACUGUCUUCUUCUGAACUGGUCUGAGAAUGAGUCCAACUUAGUUUUGUGUACACACAACCAACAUUCGCCAAUUGCAAAGGAAUUUUCAAUAUUUAAAAUGCAGACACAAGUCCCAUCAGGACAUAUGAAGCACGAUUGGUAUAAAUAGUAGAGGAGUACCAGGGCCCCAUCACUUGGAUUCAUCUCUAAGACACUCCACUCAAACAAAGAAUGUUCAAGCUGUUGUGCUUCAUCGGUCUCCUCUCCGUAUCUUUUAGUACUGGAUACAAAAGCAACGCUGGUAAUGGAGGAGUUUACUAUGCAGGAGUUUCCUAUGGAGGAGUUUCCCAUGCAGCUAUAAGUGGUUAUGAAAAUGGUUUCAAUAGAGCUGGAGCCAGCUAUAGUGCAGGCAGCCAUGGCAGAGUAGGUUACGGAGAAAGACGUUGAAGCUCUGGAU